UACGGAGGGUGCAAACGUUGCUCGGAAUUAUUGGGCGUAAAGCGCACGUAGGCGGCCGAAUAAGUCGGGUGUGAAAGCCCUGGGCUCAACCCAGGAAGUGCACUCGAAACUGCUCGGCUUGAAUAUGGAAGAGGGUCGCGGAAUUCCCGGUGUAGAGGUGAAAUUCGUAGAUAUUCGGAAGAACACCAGUGGCGAAGGCGGCUCACUGGACUGGUAUUGACGCUGAGGUGCGAAAGCGUGGGGAGCAAACAGG
rnacentral:rRNA from 1 species